rnacentral:rRNA from 1 species
UACGUAGGUGGCAAGCGUUGUCCGGAUUUACUGGGUGUAAAGGGCGUGUAGCCGGGUUGACAAGUCAGAUGUGAAAUCCUGCGGCUUAACCGCAGAACUGCAUUUGAAACUGUUGAUCUUGAGUACUGGAGAGGCAGACGGAAUUCCUAGUGUAGCGGUGAAAUGCGUAGAUAUUAGGAGGAACACCGGCGGCGAAGGCGGCCUGCUGGACUGCGACUGACGUUGAGGCUCGAAAGCGUGGGGAGCGAACAGG